GACGAACGCUGGCGGCGUGCCUAAUACAUGCAAGUCGAGCGGACUUUCCAGAAGCUUGCUUUUUGAAAGUUAGCGGCGGACGGGUGAGUAACACGUGGGCAACCUGCCUGCAAGACGGGGAUAACUCCGGGAAACCGGGGCUAAUACCGGAUAAUAUCUUCCUUCGCAUGAAGGAAGGUUGAAAGGCGGCGCAAGCUGCCGCUUGCAGAUGGGCCCGCGGCGCAUUAGCUAGUUGGUGAGGUAACGGCUCACCAAGGCGACGAUGCGUAGCCGACCUGCGAGGGUGAUCGGCCACACUGGGACUGAGACACGGCCCAGACUCCUACGGGAGGCAGCAGUAGGGAAUCUUCCGCAAUGGACGAAAGUCUGACGGAGCAACGCCGCGUGAGCGAAGAAGGUCUUCGGAUCGUAAAGCUCUGUUGUCAGGGAAGAACAAGUACCGUUCGAACAGGGCGGUACCUUGACGGUACCUGACCAGAAAGCCACGGCUAACUACGUG
rnacentral:rRNA from 1 species